rnacentral:rRNA from 1 species
UCAGGAAUCUUGCGCAAUGGGGGAAACCCUGACGCAGCGACGUCGCGUGGAGGAAGACGGCCUUCGGGUUGUAAACUCCUUUUAGCGGGACGAGCAAGGACGGUACCCGCUGAAUAAGCCCCGGCUAACUCCGUGCCAGCAGCCGCGGUAAUACGGAGGGGGCGAGCGUUGUCCGAAUUUAUUGGGCGUAAAGCGCGUGUAGGCGGAUGUCCAAGCCCGGGGUGAAAGGUUGGGGCUCAACCCCAACAGGGCCCUGGGGACUGGACGUCUGGAGGCAGGCAGAGGAGCGUGGAAUUCCUGGUGUAGCGGUGGAAUGCGUAGAGAUCAGGAAGAACACCCGUGGCGAAGGCGGCGCUCUGGGCUUGUACUGACGCAGAGACGCGAAAGCGUGGGGAGCGAACGGGAUUAGAUACCCCGGUAGUCCACGCCGUAAACGAUGGAUGCUCGGUGUCGGGGGUAUCGACCCCCUCGGCGCCCAAGGUAACCCGGUAAGCAUCCCGCCUGGGGAGUACGGCCGCAAGGUUGAAACUCAAAU